AGGGUUUGUUUUGAGUGACAACGGCAACACUAACUUUCAGUCAAUAAAAAGACUUUAGACUAUUCAGUUGUCACGCUUAAUUUCACUCUGGCCAACAAAUAAUAAUUACAUAAUUUUUCUUUCUUUAAAAAUAAUAUCGAAGAUUUUUUGUGAAGAGAAAUUAUUCAGUGGCUAUUAAUUAUUUUUGAGAUCUUCAGUGAAAUUAAAUCACCGUUUCCAGAAAAGCCACAAAAGUUUAUUAUUUAAAUUUUUAUGGAGCAACUUCAAUCUUCGUCUGUCUUACUGUCAGUCAUUGUAAAUACUAUGCAUAAAAUUUUACAAAAAGCAAUUGAUCCGCCUGUGAUAACAAUCGAUGGCAAUUAUGCAUAAUAAGAAAAAAAAAACAGUAAAUCAAAUCAUUUCAAUGAAACCCACUUACAACUGUUUUAUUUCCAAACUUCUUUUAAUGAAUCAAUAGAUGCACUAAUUAAAGUUAAAAUUAGCCCAAAAAAUUAGAUCAAAAUUUUUCUUGCCCUAAUUAAUUAUUUAAACGAUCGCCUUCAAAAUUUACAGUCUUAACUGCAAUUUCCGCAACAAAUUAGCAUAAACGCAAAAAAAGAACAAUAAAAGUCAUCCCAUAAAUUCCAAAAAAUUUCCACUUCGAGCUCAGCCCAACGAAUUGAAUCCAGUAAUGAUUGAAAUAGUUGAUUUUAUCAAAGUUUAAAUUCUGCGUGUCUUCUUAACGUCGAAAAUUAAUCAAAAAAAUAAAUCUCUCCUUCUGAUUCUUAUCCGUACGGAAUUAAUUAAAUAUAACGGAUAGCUUUAAAUUCAUUGCUCGAAGAGUGUCUAUUGAUUAUUCGAUUUGUCGUUAAUCUCAAUUACCCUCUAAGAAUUUGGAGCACGAUUCGUGAAAGGAUUAAAUGUGUGAAAUAUUGGGUUAUCGUUCCUCUUGUAUCAUGAAAAAUGACAUUAGGGCUUCUAUUUUCUAUAGUUUUUAAAGAUCUUUAGAUGCAUCUCUGGGAAGUUUUGCCCCGGUACUGCCUUUAGUAAAUAAUGAUUCAAUAUUUCACAGAAUCAAGUUGUCAAUUCCUCAAUAAUUGUUCUUAGUUUUUCACUUUAAAUUGCUGCUAUAAUGUAAGUUGGGGAUGUCGAAUCAAACGGUUCAAUAUUCAGAGACUUUAAGUUGUCGAUCGUAAUUCCGGCAGAUCAAUUGCUUUCUUAGAUUGAUGCGUAGUAUUCACAAUUUUCAAUGAUAGCGACGAAAUUUGAAUGCUCGACGAAAUAUGAGCUUACUAGUAAUCUAGUCGGCUCAAAUGUUGUUGAUCAUUCAAGCAUCACCGCCAUUUCGAAGUUAAAGUGGACAAAAUACGACCUCACUUCAAUAAUCUGCAAAAUUGACCAGCAGAAUUUGAACAUCACCAAAAAUUAACGACUAAAAAUCGUCGAAUUCGUCACUCGCAACUUGGAUUAUUGCGAGAACUUCAAUUCAAAGACUUGGAGUAAUUUUUGAGGAAUUGAAAUCUUUUUUUUGUGAAAUAUUGCGUCAAUAUUUAUUAUGGGUGGUGCCGAGGCAAAACACUGCGGAGACGCAUCUAAAAUUCUUGAAAUGCUAUCGAAAAUAAAAGUCUCAAUGUUUUUUUUCAUGCUGCGAGGGCACCGAUUACUCGAUAGUUCACGCAUUCAAUCCGUUCAUGAAUCAUGCACCAAAUUUUUGGACGAUAAUUAGAUUAGUCGAUAAAUCGGAUGAUCGUUAGGCAUGCUUCAAACAAUAAUUUUAAUACUGUUUGUCUUAUUUAAUUGUUUGUGCAUAGAUUAAGAUCAUAAGUAGUGAUUCAUUUUUUUUAUUAAUUUUUUACGAUAAGAAGACAAGCAGAAUCUAAAUUUUGAUGCAAUCAAAUAUUUUAAUAGCUACUGGGUUUAGUUCGUUAAGUUGAGCUCGGGUUGGAAAUUUUAUGGCAUUUAUGUGUUGAGUUUUAUUGUUUAUUUUUUAAUUUGGUAUCAGAGUGUUGCGCUAAUUGCAAUUAUAAACGUAAAUUUUAAAGGCGAUCGUUUGAAUAAUUAACUAAUGCACGAAGUAUAUUUAUGUGAACUCUUGCAUAAAUGGGAAUUUUGAUCAUAAAUAAACAGAUAUAAUAAAUAAUUGCUUACUAUCACUAUCUAUUUUGUAGUUUCAUGAUUUAUUGAUUGGAAAUGUUUAAAUUAGUAAUAAUAAUUGUGAUUUAAAUUAUCUAGCUUUUAAAAAUAAAUGUUGUGUGUGUAUAUCAAAGAUUGAUAAUGUAAUGAAUAAAGAAAAUAUUGAUGA
rnacentral:lncRNA from 1 species